UACGGAGGUUGCAAGCGUUAUCCGGAUUUACUGGGUUUAAAGGGUGCGUAGGCGGGCAUGUAAGUCAGUGGUGAAAUACCGGAGCUUAACUUCGGAACUGCCAUUGAUACUAUAUGUCUUGAAUAUUGUGGAGGUAAGCGGAAUAUGUCAUGUAGCGGUGAAAUGCAUAGAUAUGACAUAGAACACAGAUUGCGGAGGCAGCUUGCUACACAAAUAUUGACGCUGAGGCACGAAAGCGUGGGGAUCAAACAGG
rnacentral:rRNA from 1 species